AUCGCAGUGCACUGAUUAUUGUUUAUUUAUUUGUGAGAGAAGCCUCAAGCUUGAACUGUGAUCUGUGCUGCCGCGGCACAGCUCCGUGCAGCCCUUUCAUUUUACAAGCAGUGCAGGGGACCAGGAAGCUCCCAAGAGCUUUUGCAGACACUCACUGCACUACUCAUCGGCAGGAACUCCGUCUUCCUCGGCUCCAGUCCACAGCUGCCAGUGCCUCCCAUCAUUACACAGUGGACGAUGAGGGUGCUGCUACAGGAGCUCGGAGUUGUUGCACUGCUGUUCGGGAUCUUUCUGAGUAUCCGAUAUAUCAACUAACCAGACAAGCUGACUCAUCAAGAAAUGUUCCAUUGCACAUAUCCAAAAUCCAUACACAAUAUUUCAAAUAAAAAAGGUACGGUUUAUU